rnacentral:rRNA from 1 species
GACGAACGCUGGCGGCGUGCUUAACACAUGCAAGUCGAACGGAAAGGCCCUGCUUGCACUGUACUCGAGUUGCGAACGGGUGAGUAACUCGUGGGUGAUCUGCCCUCCACUUCGGGAUAAGCCUGUGAAACUGGGUCUAAUCCCUGAUAGGAGCCAUAUUUAAUGUGAUGGUUGGAAAGUUUUUUCCGUGUAGGAUGAGCUCGCGUGCUAUCGGCUUGUUGGGGGGGUAAUGGGAUACCAAGGCGGCGACGGGUAGCCGGACUGCGGGGGUGGACGGCGACACUGAGACUGAGAGAAGGCGCAGACAGCUACGGGAGGCAGAAGGGGGGAAGAUUGAACAAGGAGCGCAAGCCUGAUGAAGAGAGGCUGCGUGGGGGAAGACGGCCUUCGGGUUGAAAAAUCAUUUCGCUAGGGACGAAGCUUUUUGUGACGGUACCUAGAUAAGAAGCACCGGCUAACUACGUG